AUUUAUAGCACUAAAUCCCACAUCAAAAAGUUAGGAAGAACUCAAAUUAAUAACCUAACAUCACAACUGAAAGAACUAGAGAAGCAAGACAAAACCCCAAAGCUAGAGGAAGACAAGAAAUAACUGAAAAUCUGAGCUGAACUGAAAGAAACCGAGACAUGAAAAAAAGAAAUUCAAAAGAUCUAUGAAUUCCGGGUGAUGGCAUCAGCUGAGAAGGGAAGGAAGCCCAUGAGAGGACACUGAAGAAGGAGUGAGCAGACAAUAAGAAGCCCACAGAAGACAGAGAAGGAACAACUAGAGGGAGAAGCCAAGGCAGGCGUGUGUGUUUCUCCACAGACACUACCCAAAGCAGUGCUUCACUACAGUGGCAGACAGACCUGAAAAUUUUCAUCUGAAGCAGCAGAGUGAACUGCAGAGGCAGGUCACCAACCAGUGUGGAGGCUAAAAGCGGGCCUCUUUGGGGAUUCCAGGUGGAAGUGUUGGACAUCUGUAGUAUUCCUGGUCUCGAAUCAUCCUGAUAUUCUUCAUUUUGUUAUUCACAUUGGACUAGG
rnacentral:lncRNA from 10 species